CUGGGAUGGAACGUGGCUAGACUUAGCGGGUCUAGCUGCUCAGGGCCUGAGCAGCACGCUCGGAGCCGUCGCGCGCCAAAGCGGGAAUCCGGGAAGCGGGCAACUCUGCAAUUAAUGCACGUAUUUUAAACUCCUGAACCUGCGGACGCUGUGCACAGGAAGCACCUCCAGGAGAUUCCAGUCCUGAGUAGCAACGUUGCCACUAGCUUCACGUGGGAAUGGGAUUCUAGCAAGACUUCUGAACUGCUCUCAGGCAUGGGGGUCUCCGCCCCGGAGAAAGAGGAGCCCGACAGUGAGAAUAUCCCCCAGGAACUGCUCUCAAACCUGGGCCUCCAUCAGAGCCCCCCAAGGAAACGGCUGAAGAGCAAAGGGAGUGACAAAGACUUUGUGGUUAUCCCCAGGCCUAAGCUAAAUCGAGAGAACUUUCCAGGUGUUUCAUGGGACUCCCUUCCGGAUGAGCUGCUUUUGGGGAUCUUUUCCUGUCUGUGCCUCCCUGAGCUGCUAAAGGUCUCUGGUGUUUUUAAGAGGUGGUUUCGCCUAGCGUUUGACGAGUCUCUAUGGCAAACCUUAGACCUCACAGGUAAAAGUCUGCACCUGGAUGUGACUGGUCCGUUGCUGUCUCAAGGGGUGACUGCCUUCCGCUGCCCACGAUCAUUUACAGACCAACCAUUAGCUGAACAUUUCAGCCCUUUUCGUGUGCAGCACAUGGGCCUGUCAAACUCAGUUACUGAAGUGUCCACCCUCCAGGGCAUUCUGUCUCAGUGUUCCAAGUUGCAGAAUCUAAGCCUGGAAGGUCUGCGGCUGUCAGAGCCCAUUGUCAAUAAUCUCGUACAAAACUCGAAUUUAGUUCGACUUAACCUUUGUAGAUGUUCUGGAUUCUCUUAAUUUGCCCUGCAGACUUUGCUAAGUGGCUGUUCCAGACUGGAUGAGCUGAACCUUUCCUGGUACUUUGAUUUCACUGAGAAGCAUGUGUAGUUGGCUGUUGCGCACGUGUCAGAGACCAUCACCCCGCUGAAUCUUAGCGGCUACAGAAAGAAUCUCCAGAAAUCACAUCUUUCUACUUUAGUUAGAAGAUGCUCCAAUCUUGUCCACCUAGACUUAAGUGAUAGUAUCAUGCUAAAGUAUGACUGCUUCCCGGAAUUUUUCCAGCUCAACUAACUCCAACAACACCUGUCUCUCAGUUGGUGCUAUGAUAUAAUACCUGAAACUUUACUUGAACUCGGAGAAAUUCCCACACUAAAAAACACUACAAGUUUUUGGAAUUGUGCCAGAUGGUACCCUUCAACUGUUAAAGAAGGCCCUUCCUCAUCUACAGAUUAAUUGCUCCCAUUUCACCACCAUUGCCAGGCCAACUAUUGACAACCAAAAGAACCAGGAGGGGCAUCAAAUGCCGACUGACCCAGCAAAAGCCCAGUUGUCUGUGAAGCAGUUACUGCAGGAUGGUGUCUCUUCUUUAGAACAGGGAAAGUAGGCAGGAAGCCCAAUUGAUGGAGUACUUAGCUAGUUUUAUUCUUGGUUUUCCCUUUGCCUUCAUUCUGCAAGUAUAUUAGGGAACCAUUUGAGAGGGAAAACUAUGAAAUCUUGCUUUUUGAAAUGAUUCUAUCACUGCUUUGCUCUUAAGAGCCAAAGUUGUAGGCCUUUCGAAAUUUUGGGAGAGUGAGCCUAUAAUUUCAAGAUACCUUAAAGAGCAAAAUUUGAGCCAACUUUUUCAAGUGCCCUUCUUAUUAAGUCCAUUAAGAGUCAAGCUCAAAAAUUACCACCAGCAAACAAUCUUCAUAGCUUAUAUAACUUUUAUCUAU